UACGUAGGGCGCAAGCGUUGUCCGGAAUUAUUGGGCGUAAAGAGCUCGUAGGCGGUUUGUCACGUCGGAUGUGAAAGCCCGGGGCUUAACCCCGGGUCUGCAUUCGAUACGGGCAGACUAGAGUGUGGUAGGGGAGAUCGGAAUUCCUGGUGUAGCGGUGAAAUGCGCAGAUAUCAGGAGGAACACCGGUGGCGAAGGCGGAUCUCUGGGCCGAUACUGACGCUGAGGAGCGAAAGCAUGGGUAGCGAACAGG
rnacentral:rRNA from 1 species